GGCCUACGGGAGGCAGCAGUAGGGAAUUUUCGUCAAUGGGCGCAAGCCUGAACGAGCAAUGCCGCGUGGACGAGGAAGGUCUUCGGAUCGUAAAGUUCUGUUGAAGGGGAAAAAGAGCGGAGAGAGGAAAUGGUCUCCGAUUGAUAUUACCCUUCGAGGAAGUCACGGCUAACUACGUGCCAGCAGCCGCGGUAAUACGUAGGUGGCGAGCGUUAUCCGGAAUGAUUGGGCGUAAAGGGAGCGUAGGCGGCUGUGUAAGCCAGAAGUGAAAGCCCGAGGCUCAACCACGGGACUGCUUUUGGAAC
rnacentral:rRNA from 1 species